AGUAUUAUUACCUAUAGUCA
rnacentral:snRNA from 1 species